rnacentral:rRNA from 1 species
CAGCCAGUUGCGUCUGACGACCCCAUUGACAUCCUUAAUAUCAAUCUCAAAAGGCUGAAAAAAUAUUUCAAGGGCUAGGGCUCCCAUAUGUUUGGGCAUGCUAGGAAGAGAAAAAAAGAUAUUCAAAAGGAACUUGAAGAGAUUGAGGCCUUAGAAGAAGAGGGACCCCUUGAACCAGAGACUUAUGAAAAAAGAACCACCUUGCGGAUGGAACUCGAAGAAAUCCUAGCUAAUGAGGAACUCUUCUGGCUCCAACAAUCCAAUGAGAGGUGGUUGUUGAAGGGAGACUAGAAUACAGCCUUUUUCCAUCGCGCGACCAAUGGCAAAAAACGAAAAAACACGAUCCACUCCUUCACGGAUGGUGAGACGGUGAUUGAGGGCACAGACAACCUAUUGGCACAUGCCACGGCUUACUAUAAGAAUCUCUUUGGCCCGGCCAGGGGAAAUAUUUUUCAUUUAUCUGCGGAUACCUGGUCAGAAGAAGAGAAGCUCACAGUAGAGGAUAAUAUUCUCCUGACUAGUGAAUUCACGGAGGAAGAAGUCAGGAAAGCAUUAUUUGGCAUG